CCUACGGGGGGCAGCAGUGGGGAAUAUUGGACAAUGGGGGGAACCCUGAUCCAGCCAUGCCGCGUGUGUGAAGAAGGCCCUCGGGUUGUAAAGCACUUUCAGUGAGGAAGAACGCCUGGUGGUUAAUACCCAUCAGGAAAGACAUCACUCACAGAAGAAGCACCGGCUAACUCCGUGCCAGCAGCCGCGGUAAUACGGAGGGUGCGAGCGUUAAUCGGAAUUACUGGGCGUAAAGCGCGCGUAGGUGGCUUGAUAAGCCGGUUGUGAAAGCCCCGGGCUCAACCUGGGAACGGCAUCCGGAACUGUCAAGCUAGAGUGCAGGAGAGGAAGGUAGAAUUCCCGGUGUAGCGGUGAAAUGCGUAGAGAUCGGGAGGAAUACCAGUGGCGAAGGCGGCCCUCUGGACUGACACUGACACUGAGGUGCGAAAGCGUGGGUAGCAAACAGGAUUAGAUACCCUAGUAGUC
rnacentral:rRNA from 1 species